UACGUAGGGUGCGAGCGUUGUCCGGAAUUAUUGGGCGUAAAGAGCUCGUAGGCGGUUUGUCGCGUCGACUGUGAAAAACCCGAGGCUUAACCUCGGGCCUGCAGUCGAUACGGGCAGACUAGAGUUCGGUAGGGGAGACUGGAAUUCCUGGUGUAGCGGUGAAAUGCGCAGAUAUCAGGAGGAACACCGGUGGCGAAAGGCGGGGUCUCUGGGGCCGAUACUGACGCUGAGGAGCGAAAAGCGUGGGGGAGCGAACAGG
rnacentral:rRNA from 1 species